rnacentral:rRNA from 1 species
UACGUAGGCAGCAAGCGUUGUUCGGAGUUACUGGGCGUAAAGGGUGCGUAGGCGGCUUUUUAAGUUUGGUGUGAAAUCUCCCGGCUCAACUGGGAGGGUGCGCCCGAAUACUGAGAGGCUAGAGUGUGGGAGAGGAAAGUGGAAUUCCUGGUGUAGCGGUGAAAUGCGUAGAUAUCAGGAGGAAUACCGAUGGCGAAGGCAGGUCUCUGGGCUGACACUGACGCUCAUGCACGAAAGCGUGGGGAGCA